GAUGAACGCUGGCGGCAUGCCUUACACAUGCAAGUCGAACGGUAACGGGUCCUUCGGGAUGCCGACGAGUGGCGAACGGGUGAGUAAUAUAUCGGAACGUGCCCAGUAGUGGGGGAUAACUGCUCGAAAGAGCAGCUAAUACCGCAUACGACCUGAGGGCGAAAGGGGGGGAUCGCAAGACCUCUCGCUAUUGGAGCGGCCGAUAUCAGAUUAGCUAGUUGGUGGGGUAAAGGCCUACCAAGGCAACGAUCUGUAGUUGGUCUGAGAGGACGACCAGCCACACUGGGACUGAGACACGGUCCAGACUCCUACGGGAGGCAGCAGUGGGGAAUUUUGGACAAUGGGCGCAAGCCUGAUCCAGCAAUGCCGCGUGCAGGAAGAAGGCCUUCGGGUUGUAAACUGCUUUUGUCAGGGAAGAAAUCUUCUGGGCUAAUACCCCGGGAGGAUGACGGUACCUGAAGAAUAAGCACCGGCUAACUACGUGCCAGCCGCCGCCGUAA
rnacentral:rRNA from 1 species